ACAAAUCUAGUCAAUAUUAAUCAUUUUAUUUGUAAAUAGAAUAAACCAUUGAAAUUCUAUACAAUCUCAGACACAUUUUUUAAAUGGACCAUUGGUUGUGUUUUAUACAAGUAUUGAGCUAUACCGUUUCCAUUAUAAAUCAGUCAAGUCAGAUUGCAACUGCUGGUAAAAUGAUUGCUCAUUAUAUACACUUCAAAAACUGUUUGGGUCAAUCGACAACAGCACAGAUUUCCAGCAAUUCAUUGUCUCUGAAGAGGAGUUUCCCCCCGAGCAGCAGCAUUAUAAGCAGGAGUGGAGCCCCAGUCUGGGGAAAGAUGAGUGGAACCCCAUACAGAUUAAAGAGGAACAGAAGGAAUUCAGUAUCAUCCAGGAGGAGGAAGACUCUGUAUUCACUCCUGCCUGGGUGAAAAGUGACUAUGAUCAGUACUCAACUCAGUCCUCACAAACCCAAAGUGAAGAAUACAAAGACAGAAUGGCCUCAACUGAACAGAUCAAAACAGAACCUAAGGAAGAGGACUCCUCAUAGCCAACCAAUGACUCUCGGCCCCUGCGCAAAUCAAAGAGGACGCUUUUGCAGACAGAAAAAGGACAAGGCUUCAUUAUCUGCUCUAACUGUAGAAAAUCAAUGGCUCUGAAAUCACCAGUGCAAAGGAGUCACAUAUAAGAGAAACCAUAUCACUGUCAGUAUUGUAGCGGGCGUUUUCCAAAGACAAUAAAUCAUAUUUUGCACAUGAGGAGAAAUCGA